GACGGAGGAUGCAAGCGUUAUCCGGAAUUAUUGGGCGUAAAGCGUCCGCAGGUGGACAUACAAGUCUGCUGUCAAAGUGCAGAGCUUAACUCUGUAAAGGCGGUGGAAACUGUAGGUCUUGAGUAUGGUAGGGGUAGAGGGAAUUCCCGGUGUAGCGGUGAAAUGCGCAGAUAUCAGGAGGAACACCGGUGGCGAAGGCGGGUCUCUGGGCCGAUACUGACGCUGAGGAGCGAAAGCGUGGGGAGCGAACAGG
rnacentral:rRNA from 1 species